rnacentral:rRNA from 1 species
GACGAACGCUGGCGGCGUGCUUAACACAUGCAAGUCGAACGAUGAACUGGCUGCUUGCUGCUGGGGAUUAGUGGCGAACGGGUGAGUAACACGUGAGUAACCUGCCCUGGACUCUGGGAUAACCCCGAGAAAUCGGAGCUAAUACCGGAUAGGACCCUGUACCGCAUGGUGUGGGGUGGAAAGUUUUUUCGGUCUGGGAUGGACUCGCGGCCUAUCAGCUUGUUGGUGAGGUAAUGGCUCACCAAGGCGUCGACGGGUAGCCGGCCUGAGAGGGUGACCGGCCACACUGGGACUGAGACACGGCCCAGACUCCUACGGGAGGCAGCAGUGGGGAAUAUUGCACAAUGGGCGCAAGCCUGAUGCAGCAACGCCGCGUGCGGGAUGACGGCCUUCGGGCUGUAAACCGCUUUUAGUAAGGAAGAAGGGGAGCUUGCUCCUUGACGGUACUUGCAGAAAAAGGACCGGCUAACUACGUGCCAGCCGCCGCAGUAAGAC